rnacentral:tRNA from 1 species
GGUACAAUAGUUGAUUAACAACAUUAAAUUGCAAAUUUAAAGGAGUACAUUGAUACUAGUACCU